rnacentral:rRNA from 1 species
UGACGACGGGACGCUAAGGCGUUGAAGCAGUGUACGUCAGACUUCCAAGAAAAGCUCGCAAUGUCAUAAGUAAAAAAUGCCUGUACCAUAACCGACACAGGUGGGUAGGUAGAGUAUACUAAGGGGCGCGAGAUAACUCUCUCUAAGGAACUCGGCAAAAUGACUCCGUAACUUCGGGAGAAGGAGUGCCUUAUUUAUAAGGUUGCAAUAACAAGAUCCAAGCAACUGUUUAUCAAAAACACAGGUCUCCGCUAAGUCGUAAGACGAUGUAUGGGGGCUGACGCCUGCCCAGUGCCAGAAGGUUAAAGAAGUUGGUUAGUGUAUGCGAAGCUGAUGACUGAAGCCCUGGUGAACGGCGGCCGUAACUAUAACGGUCCUAAGGUAGCGAAAUUCCUUGUCGGGUAAGUUCCGACCCGCACGAAAGGCGUAAUGAUUUGGAUACUGUCUCGGAGAGAGGCUCGGUGAAAUAGACUUGUCUGUGAAGAUGCGGACUACCUGCACCAGGACAGAAAGACCCUAUGAAGCUUUACUGUAACUUGAAAUUGGAAUUGGACUUUGCUUGCGCAGUAUAGGUGGGAAGCGUUGAAGAUAUUCUUGCGGGAGUAUUGGAGCUAUCAGUGAGAUACCACUCUUGUAAUGUUAGAUUUCUAACUUUGAACCAUAAUCUGAUCAAAGAACAGUUUCAGGUGGGCAGUUUGACUGGGGCGGUCGCCUCCCAAAUGGUAACGGAGGCGUACAAAGGUUUCCUCUGAACGGAUAGAAAUCGUAUCUAGAGUGUAAAGGCAUAAGGAAGCUUGACUGUGAGACCUACAAGUCGAGCAGGGACGAAAGUCGGUCUUAGUGAUCUGACGGUACUGAGUGGAAAGGCCGUCACUCAACGGAUAAAAGUUACUCUAAGGAUAACAGGCUGAUCUCCCCCAAGAGUUCACAUCGACGGGGAGGUUUGGCACCUCGAUGUCGGCUCAUCGCAUCCUGGGGCGGUAGUACGUCCCAAGGGUUGGGCUGUUCGCCCAUGAAAGCGGUACGCGAGCUGGGUUCAGAACGUCGUGAGACAGUUCGGUCCAUAUCCGGUGUAGGCGUUAGAAUAUUGAGAGGAGCCUUCUUUAGUACGAGAGGACCGAGAAGGACACACCGCUGGUGUACCAGUUAUCGUGCCAACGGUAAACGCUGGGUAGCUAUGUGUGGAGUGGAUAACCGCUGAAAGCAUCUAAGUGGGAAGCCCACCUCAAGAUGAGUAUUCUCC